UGGGGAAUAUUGGACAAUGGGCGCAAGCCUGAUCCAGCCAUGCCGCGUGAGUGAUGAAGGCCUUAGGGUUGUAAAGCUCUUUUGUCCGGGAAGAUAAUGACUGUACCGGAAGAAUAAGCCCCGGCUAACUUCGUGCCAGCAGCCGCGGUAAUACGAAGGGGGCUAGCGUUGCUCGGAAUCACUGGGCGUAAAGGGCGCGUAGGCGGACUUAUAAGUCGGGGGUGAAAGCCCAGGGCUCAACCCUGGAAUUGCCUUCGAUACUGGGAGUCUUGAGUUCGGAAGAGGUUGGUGGAACUGCGAGUGUAGAGGUGAAAUUCGUAGAUAUUCGCAAGAACACCGGUGGCGAAGGCGGCCAACUGGUCCGAAACUGACGCUGAGGCGCGAAAGCGUGGGGAGCAAACAGG
rnacentral:rRNA from 1 species